AUUUAUUCUAAGUAUUUCUUUUAUUAUUAAAAUAUUAUUAUUGAAAAUCUAAAUUUUCAAUUAAAAAUUUUACUUAUUUAAAAUCUAACUAGUUUUAUUUUGAUAAUUAUUUAUAAAAUACAUCAAACUAAUAAUAGUAAUAAUACGCUAUUAUUAUUUUUUAAGAGUUCAUUAAUUUUAUAAUGUAUAAUAUUAUUCUGGUUAAAUCUUGGUUUGACUCCAGUUGAACUUUAAACCCUUAGUCUUCUUCUUUCAUUGGUUCAAGUACCGCGUUGGGUUUGAAAACCUUUUUUUUUAAUUUUUUUUUCCCCUUUCUCUCAGUUUAUUUCUUAUUUUAUUUUCUGUUAUCUUUCUUAAGGCUGGCAACCUGGAAUUCAAGAA
rnacentral:misc_RNA from 1 species